rnacentral:rRNA from 1 species
GAUCCGGUAAUCGGAAAUUCUGGGCGUAAGCGCACGCAGGUGGCUAGGUCAGUCGGAUGUGAAAGCCCCGGGCACAACCUGGGAAUUGCAUUUGAGACUGGUAGGCUAGAGUGUGGUAGAGGUGAGUGGAAUUUCAGGUGUAGCGGUGAAAUGCGUAGAGAUCUGAAGGAACAUCAGUGGCGAAUGCGACUCACUGGGCCAUUACUGACGCUGAGGUGCGAAAGCGUGGGUAGCAAACAGGAUUAGAUACCCUGGUAGUCCACGCCCUAAACGAUGUCAACUAGGUGUAUGGAGAAUUUAUUCUUUGUGUAUCGAAGCUA